rnacentral:rRNA from 1 species
UAAAAAGCUCGUAGUUGGAUUUCUGCCGAGGACGACCGGUCCGCCCUCUGGGUGAGUAUCUGGCUCGGCCUGGGCAUCUUCUUGGAGAACGUAGCUGCACUUGACUGUGUGGUGCGGUAUCCAGGACUUUUACUUUGAGGAAAUUAGAGUGUUUCAAGCAGGCACACGCCUUGAAUACAUUAGCAUGGAAUAAUAAGAUAGGACCUCGGUUCUAUUUUGUUGGUUUCUAGAGCUGAGGUAAUGAUUAAUAGGGAUAAUUGGGGGCAUUUGUAUUAACGCGUCAGAGGUGGAAUUCUUGGAUUGCGUUACGACAAACUACUGCGAAAGCAUUUGCCAAGGAUGUUUUCAUUGAUCAAGAACGAAAGUAUGGGGAUCGAAGAUGAUUAGAUACCGUCGUAGUCUAUACCAUAAACUAUGCCGACUAGGGAUUGGAGGUCGUUCUUUUUAUGACUCCUUCAGCACCUUAUGAGAAAUCAAAGUCUUUGGGUUCCGGGGGGAGUAUAGUCGCAAGGCUGAAACUUAAAGGAAUUGACGGAAGGGCACCACCAGGAGUGGAGCCUGCGGCUUAAUUUGACUCAACACGGGGAAACUCACCAGGUCCAGACAUAGUAAGGAUUGACAGAUUGAUAGCUCUUUCUUGAUUCUAUGGGUGGUGGUGCAUGGCCGU